CGUCUACAACGCACUGUUGAUGAUAUAAUAGACCUUUUGCGCUAAUUUUAAUCCAGAUAUAGGGACUUUGAAAUAAAUUUGACUAAUUUUCAAGUUUCCCAAAAAUGUUCAAAAAACAGUCUUUUAUGACUAAUUCGGCUGUAGAAGUGAAUUUCCAGCAUUUUUUCUGUAUGCAAAAAUCCCGUCAAACGUGCCGUUGACGGGCUACUGACGUUUAAAAUUUUGAAAUUAUGCUAAUUGAUGAUGGAAAAUUCUGAAAAAAAUCAUGUACGUUUCUGUUUAUAUUAUCAACAUUGUCCUAAAAUCUCAAAUGAUUCUAUCCAAAAUUGAAUAAGUUAUAUCAUUUUUUCCAAUUGGAUUUUUGUUUAUGCUCGAAAUCAUGCCAUUUAUAAAAUAACACACCAAGACUUUGAAAUCAUUUUCAGGUUUUCAAUUCGAAAUAUGAUAACCACUUUUAUUAUAUUGAUUCCAACAAUUUAAAGUGUCAAUCACAAACCACUCAUGUGGCUUCACUUAAAUUAUGCUUAAUAUUAUGUAAAUUAUUCUAAAAACACGGAAUCUAUGAAUUAACUUAUUCUGCAAUAUUCAAACAUCGCGCAAAAUUGUAUUCAAGCAUGCGCAAUGAAACAACUCAACUCGAAGAAAAUAACCUCCAUUUUAUAGCUGUGUUUUAUAGAUGUGUUGUGUUUGUGUUCAUCUUGUAAUUUUUGUGAUCUCUAUCCGUUGAAUGAUUGAAAGGUGCAGUGUGGAACAUCAAGUCUACUUCCAGUGCCCCAAAUGAAGAAAUCCAGUUAAUAAUCCGAAAUUGGUUUUGAUUCUCCAAAGACCGUGAUGGAGGUCAAGAAAAACGGAGAAAUGAUCCAGCACCCAAUCACAUGUAACUAGGCCAAGUGCCAAUAAGUAAAUUUUUAGUGAAUCUCAAACAUCCAUAAUCUCUUUUGUAAUGAUUUUACAAUAUACAGACUUUUCAUGCAUUUAA